rnacentral:rRNA from 1 species
GACGAACGCUGGCGGCGUGCUUAACACAUGCAAGUCGAACGGAAAGGCCCUGCUUUUGUGGGGUGCUCGAGUGGCGAACGGGUGAGUAACACGUGAGUAACCUGCCCUUGACUUUGGGAUAACUUCAGGAAACUGGGGCUAAUACCGGAUAGGAGCUCCUGCUGCAUGGUGGGGGUUGGAAAGUUUCGGCGGUUGGGGAUGGACUCGCGGCUUAUCAGCUUGUUGGUGGGGUAGUGGCUUACCAAGGCUUUGACGGGUAGCCGGCCUGAGAAGGUGACCGGCCACAUUGGGACUGAGAUACGGCCCAGACUCCUACGGGAGGCAGCAGUGGGGAAUAUUGCACAAUGGGCGGAAGCCUGAUGCAGCAACGCCGCGUGCGGGAUGACGGCCUUCGGGUUGUAAACCGCCUUCGCCUGUGACGAAGCGUGAGUGACGGUAAUGGGUAAAGAAGCACCGGCUAACUACGUG